rnacentral:rRNA from 1 species
UACAGAGGGUGCAAGCGUUGUUCGGAAUUACUGGGCGUAAAGGGCGCGUAGGCGGCCUUCUAAGUCGAACGUGAAAUCCCCGGGCUCAACCCGGGAACUGCGUCCGAUACUGGAGGGCUUGAAUCCGGGAGAGGGAUGCGGAAUUCCAGGUGUAGCGGUGAAAUGCGUAGAGAUCAUGAGGAAGACCAGUGGCGAAGGCGGGUCUCUGGACAGUUCCUGACACUGAGACACGAAGGCCAGGGGAGCAAACGGG